rnacentral:lncRNA from 1 species
AAUGCAUUUACACAUGAAUCAUUGACAUCCAAGGUCACAACUCUUUCAGAAGACACAGGUAAUUCAAAAGACACACAUUGAAACAGAGUUACUCUUAAUCAUAAGUGAAAAUAUACCAUGAGUAUAUAUAGAAAACCAGUUGUUCUGCUUUUUUGGAAGACUAGAGCUGUUAAGAGUUAGCAUUUCUGGGGCUGGCCCCAAGGCCGAGUGGUUAAGUUCACACACUCUGCUGCGGUGGCCCAGGAUUUCACUGGUUCGAAUCCUGGGUGCGGACAUGGCACCACUCAUCAGGCCAUGCUGAGGCGGCAUCCCAUAUGCUGCAACUAGAAGGACUCACAACUAGAAAUACACAACUAUGUACCAGGGGGAUUUGGGAGAAAAAGGAAAAAUAAAAUCUUAAAAAAAAAAAGAGUUAGCAUUUCUUUCAGCUAUACUCUCACCCUACCUCCUCCUAAUGUCCUUAGCAUGUAUUUAGUUUCUCCUGUCAGAUCGGAAUUGUUGACCACUUUAAAUGCACAAUGAGGUACACUCGCUCAGUCAGACUGAGGAGCAGUCUUCCCAGUUAGGAGGACAGUUAGGACUUUCUUAAUGCUGGUAGGGAACUGUCCUUCACCUUAGUCCUUCAUGACAUCUUUGAUGCCAGUGCUAUGUCUUCAUCCAGUGGCCUUUAAGUCUCUGAUAGGCCAACAGUAUGAGCUCUACAAGUUGCCCUAACCUUUCAGGCAAUUUUACUUCCCUGCAGAUCACCAGUUGCGAAACAGAGAAGUUUCAACUACAAACUACCCAGCACCUGUGUCUUGAGUAGCUGGAGUAGUAAUGAGGAAGAAGGAAAGGACUAUGCCUCCCAAACUCCUCAACUUCUUUCCUUCCCUGUAUUUCCAGAGAAACUUUGCCAAUCCUUGCCUGUAUAGGAUGGAGAUAUGCAGAGAAAGAAUUCCAGAAAUCUGCAGAGCAAUUGCUUUUAGUGGCUAUUCUAGACUCAUCAUAACAAAGCUUAAAAACCAACUUCAAAUGGAUCAAAUUGAACUGCAAGUAAUUUAUCUACCUGCCAAAUUUCAACAUUCCUUAAAGAAAGAAAAUACAAUUCAAGUAGUCAACAAUGUAGUAUUAACAUUGUUCAGCAUUCAUUAAAAAUUACUAGAUAUGUGAAAAAGCAGCAUAUUGUGACCUAUUGUUAAGUCAGUCAAUAGAAACAGAUACAGAAAUAGUGAAGACUUUAAAACAUCUAUUAUUAAUAUUAUAAAUUUGCUCAAGGAUUUAAAAGAAAAUAUAAAUAUGAUUAGGAGAAAAGAUUAAGAGCUAAAAUGGAACUGUUAGAGCUGAAAAAUAAAACACACGCAGUGAAAAAUUCA